rnacentral:rRNA from 1 species
UACGUAGGGUGCAAGCGUUAAUCGGAAUUACUGGGCGUAAAGCGUGCGCAGGCGGUUUUGUAAGUCUGUCGUGAAAGCCCCGGGCUCAACCUGGGAAUUGCGAUGGAGACUGCAAGGCUUGAAUCUGGCAGAGGGGGGUAGAAUUCCACGUGUAGCAGUGAAAUGCGUAGAGAUGUGGAGGAACACCGAUGGCGAAGGCAGCGCCCUGGGUCAAGAUUGACGCUCAUGCACGAAAGCGUGGGGAGCAAACAGG